rnacentral:rRNA from 1 species
GACGAACGCUGGCGGCGCGCUUAACACAUGCAAGUCGAACGGAAAGGCCUGCUUUCCCUUGUGGAUUGCGGGUACUCGAGUGGCGAACGGGUGAGUAACACGUGAGUGAUCUGCCCCCAACUUGGGUAUAAGCCUGGGAAACUGGGUCUAAUUCCCGAUAGGACUGCAGGGUGGUGCCUGUGGUGGAAAACGAUUUUCUAGUGGUUGGGGAUGAGCUCGCGGCCUAUCAGCUUGUUGGUGGGGUAAUGGCCUACCAAGGCGGCGACGGGUAGCCGGCCUGGGAGAGUGGACGGACAAAUUGGAACUGAGAUACGGCCCAGACUCCUACGGGAAGCAGCAGUGGGGAAUAUUGCACAAUGGGCGGAAGCCUGAUGCAGCGACGCCGCGGGGGGGAUGACGGCCUUCGGGUUGUAAACUCCUUUCGACCGCGAGGAAGCCACCUGGUUGGAAGGGUGGUGACGGUAGUGGUAGAAGAAGCACCGGCUAACUACGUG